AUUAUCUUGGCAGAAAUGAUGUACUAGAUUUAGGAUCUAAUUAUAUAGGGGAGUCCUAUAGAUAAUA
rnacentral:tRNA from 1 species